ensembl:lncRNA
UGCCCGAGACAGGCCGGGCCCGGAGCCACCGGCGAGGGUUUGGCCCCGGGCUGAAAAACACUGAUAAUAAAUAUCUAAAUGAUGCCAGAGCAGAAACGCUGCUGGCAGCCAAGGACGUGAGACUCGGAAAAACUGCUGGAGGGAAACUGGCUGUGCGCAGAAAGUGGAGAAGCUGAUUGCAGAAAGCGUUGCGAAGGACGGGAAAACCUGCUGGAGGAAAACGUCAGGGCGUCCGUUAGUCUUGGAAGGGGGCGAGACAAUUCAUCACUAAAAAAAAGUGCUUUUAACCCUGUUUCUGAAGCUUACUAGAAAUGUAAUUGGAAAUAGCAGUAGACACGCAUUGGGUGACCACUAAUGGAAGAAAUCUGUUGACGCAUGUACGGUUUUAACGCCGAGCCUGAUGCAGAGUGCGGGUGCAUUGCCCCCACGAGGAGCCCUGCUUUGGUUUGGGUGGGUUUGGAUUUUGUUACAGGAUCAGAGCAGAUUUUGGACAGAGGGAACUGAGCUGGUUUAACUAUGUCAGAAAAUUGUGGUGUGGUUGGGGCUGCUAGUCGAGUGUUUCCAAGCGUAGGCAGGACCUGGGUGCAACAUCCGUCAAACCACCUGUAAAGCAUAAUCUGGCCCUUCCGCGUUACAUCCUGGCUUGAAAAACGUCUUUGGCAGAUGGGUGUCUGCAAAGCGGGGAGAGGCAUGAGGAGGACAGGAUGCUAAUCUUGGUUUAAAAAGACAAAUGCUACCUGUUACAGAGCACCAGCGGACAGGGAGGUCCUUCCAGCUCUGGAGGAGGGAGCUGAGGAUGCGAAGGGGAUGUCUUGGCUAUGCCCGUGUUUGGCACCAAAACGCCAAGACAAAUGCAGUGAAAGAGCAAUUGAUGGAAACCCAAGGCAACCGAUGGAAACCUUGGAUGGAAAUCCAAGGUAUUAGGAUCUUCAUGUGCAACUCUCCUACCUGCUUGCCAAGAAAUGCCUGAUGUGGUGUUUGCAUUGCUUUUCUCUGAGAGACAGGUAUCAGGCAGUGAGUGGAUCCAGUCUAACAGAACGGAUGCCCAGCAGUGGAGCAUGUAACCCUGCACAGGUCGCCUAGAAAGCAGGCUGGAAGACAGAAGGGCCCUGCCUUAGCUGGUACCCUGUGCCCCAGCAGGCCACCCCAGCUCUGUUGUUGGGGUGACCCUGGCGCCUGCAGCAGUUUGGCAGAGGGCAGGAGUGCAGAUCAGGCAGAGUGCAUGUUCCUCAGCUUGGUGUUGCUGUGAUGUAGAUGGGAUAUUGCAUCUUUCAUAGCCUGACUGCUCUCAGAUUUGCUGAGGACUUCACUGGGGGAAACAAAUCCAGAGAUCCUGUUCAUCUAAACAAAGGAAGAGUCGCUGAUUUCUAUUUGCCAGAAAUUCAGGCAGGGAUCUGAAACCGGUCCUGAGCGCUAGAACAGAGUAAUUGAAGCUUUAACACCCACCUAUAACCAUUUCAGUUUUAGGCAAUUGUCCUUUGUGGGGCAUACCUUCAAUUUGGUGGCUCGGGGAUUUGCAAGCACUGAGUCAUAACUCCCUGGGGUCAACAAUACAGCUGCUGAGGCAGCAGGCAUUGAAAAGUGUUGUCCAAGAUAAAGCAGAGCAAACCUCACUGCCCACACACCCUUAUCGUUCAAGGCUGAGUAUCUUUGCCACCCUCUUCAAAAACACUCGUACAAAAUUAUACUGGCUUCUCAUGGUUGCCAUUGAUACAGAAUUUACUCCUGCUUUUAGAGCAGACAAGAGGGGAUUGCGAAAAUCUGUGACUUGAAAGAGUUGAGGCAGAUAGAUCUGAAGCCAAUAUGCAGCGCCCCACGGCAGCAAUACAGCUUCCUUCUGCUUGCACAGAGAUAGCUGGGGUUUGAGGAGUGAAUCGCGCUGCUGCAUGUGUCUGUCUCCUUGCCAGGGAGGGUCCCAGAAGAGCUGCUUGGGCCUCUCCACACAUAGCCCCUGGCCCUUCGCAUACAGG